rnacentral:misc_RNA from 1 species
UCACCGCUUACGCGGGCAGUUUCUUUAGAGUCCCCGGCCGAACCGCUGGCAACUAAAGAUAGGGGUUGCGCUCGUUAUGGGACUUAACCCGACACCUCACGGCACGAGCUGACGACAACCAUGCAGCACCUUGAAGAGUGUCCGAAGAAAUUCCGGUUUCCCGGAACGUCACUCCCCAUUUAAGCCCAGGUAAGGUUCCUCGCGUAUCAUCGAAUUAAACCACAUGCUCCACCGCUUGUGCGGGCCCCCGUCAAUUCCUUUGAGUUUCACCGUUGCCGGCGUACUCCCCAGGUGGAUCACUUAAUGCUUUCGCUUAGCCGCUGACUGUGUAUCGCCAACAGCGAGUGAUCAUCGUUUACGGCGUGGACUAC